CACAUACAUAUUCCAUCCAACUUUAUGUUUCAUAAAUUCUCCACAUAAAAAUUCAUUUAGUAAAUGGAAUGAAAUUAGUGCGACUGACAGAAAACAACGUGUUGAAGUCAGGAACUAUACCAUGAGGACUUUAUUGCCUUUCUAAAUAUUUUGGAAACAGUACAACUCGCCCAUGCAUCAUGUUUUCUUGGUGCUUGCGUAAUCAUUUCUCCUCCAACUUCCAAUUAAAAAUUCAUGGGGAUGAGCAUCAAGCAGAGCACAAUGGACCUGAGUCAGUGUGAUGUGGUGGCAAAACACUGAGGUCUUGAAAUUCAAAGCUGUGGUCUCCUGCCCCCUCUACUCAUGCUCCUCCUUGUGUGACUGAUAUUAAUGAUGCGUCUCCUGCCCCCUCUACCCAUACUCCUCCUUGUGUGACUGAGUAAUAAUGAUGGGUCUCCUGCCCCCUCUACUCAUGCUCCUCCUGUGUGACUGAGUAAUAAUGAUGCGUCUCCUGGCCCCUCUACUCAUGCUCCUCCUUGUGUGACUGAGUAAUAAUGACUGGGACAAGCGCCAUCCUAGAAAGAUAAGGAGCCAAAACGUCCUGGUCAAAAACAAGAACCUUAAAUCUGAAUGUGUCCACCAUUCCCCGUGCCCAUCCUAGGAGCUUACAUACUGCAUUCUUCCAAAUACUACUUCUUGGAUUCGAAGAUAUGAAAUGAUGUAAUGAUGGGCAGUAAAAUGUAAAUUACAUGGUUGUCGUGGGGGGUGGUCCUCCUUUGAUGAGACAUCCUGAGUUCAAAGACGGUACGCAAAGGAGGGGUGCUGUUGAGAGUGAGAGUUCAGUGAAGGCUGUAUUAGCUCUGGCUACCUCCUCAGUGGUAAACAAAGUGUCCGCUUUAUGCAGAGGCCACAGGGGUUCACUUCUCAGAGAUGCUGUGCUGCUGGGUGCUCUGUCAGUGGGACAGUGCUUACACGUGCCAGUGUCUGUAGCUUCACCAUCAAAAUAGGGCCCAACGGUUGUGGGAAGCCUUCUUAAUUAACCAUCCCCUGGGGUUUCGUAGUGAUUAAUCCCAAAAAACAGGGGAAAUAAUUUUAUAAAUGAUAAACAUGAUUGUUUGCUUAUCACUUCUAACACCUUGCACAGAAAGAAUGAGUUUCGGAAUGAACUCCAUCACAUCAAAAAUCCAAUCCUUCCUCAAGAAUAGUUCCUCUGAAUCAUUAAAAAUGUGAGCCUGUUUACCCCUCCUCAGUCUCUCCCACUUCUCUCCCACUAAUGCUGCCAUAUCUACAUCUGUUCCAAACUUUCACCAUGACGUCACCUGUUUCGCAACAUUUUUGUUUCUUUUGGUUUUCUCUUUUUAGGGCCACAACUGUGGCAGAGGGAAGUUCCCAGGCUAGGGGGCAAGUGGAGCUGCAGCUGCUGGCCUACACCACAGCCACAACAAUGCCAGAUCUGAGCCGCAUCUACGACCUACACCUUCUGCCCGAUUCUUGACCCACUGAGCAAAGCCAGGGAUCAAAUCCACAUCCUCACAGAGGCACUGUUGUGUCCUUAACCCACUGACCAAAGUGGGAACUCCUUAACCAUCUUCUUCAUUCAAUUGUUAAAUGAUUUUUUAUUUUCCUAGGUUCUAAUUUUUUAACUUUCCAUUCAACUCAUUCAUACAAAUGCCAAAAUAUUUUCCUUUGGACUCUUUCAACAUCCAAAAGGUCUCUUUCUCACAAAAUGGAUGUUCAAAAUCAGAAGAGUGAUUUUGAAGAUUGGGUACAAGUAAAUCUUUGAAUAGAUCCCAUUGGAGUAUCUGCUUCUGUGACUCAGCAACACCUGCCAACAUCAUCAUGAGGAGCAAAAGUGACUACAUUUAUUGAGCAACUGCUCUAAGAAAUAGCAUGGGAUAAGAAGUUUUCAGCACCUUUUAUCUCAAAAAAAAAUUAGAAAGAUGAGAAAGACGACGCUCAGGAAGUAAGAUGCCCAAGGUUUCACAAGAGGUGAGUGGCAAAGUCAGGCACAGGAAGAGGGGAAGGCUGAAUUUCUGGUUUGAAGCUGAAAGAUCUCUCGUCUUUCCAAAAAUGACAUUAAUUUUUAUGAUUUGGUCUAAAAGGUACUCUCCAAAUGGAAACCAUCUUUAACUAAUUAAGAACAUUUAUUUCUAUUUUGGUAAUAGCAGUAAACACAGAAUUAUCUAUCUUUCACAUUCUUUAAAUAAAUCCUUUACCCAAAGAGUGGAUGAACAUUUGGAGCGUGUGAGUGUGAGUGUGUGUGUGUAAGAGAGAGAGAGAGGGGAGGGGAGAGAAAGAGACAUAUAGACAGACAGACAGAUUCCAAACCUGCAAUUUUACUCCUCUCUUAAAAAAUGCUUCUACUACAAAGUCAUUCUGAGAAUGGAGUGCCUCCUCAUGUUCCUUCAGAGAAAAAAGAAACAGACAUGAAGAAAAAUGGUGAUUUAAAGAAAGUAAUUCACACACGACAGCUCGACUUACUCCUUUUUCUUUCCCACGUGUUCCCUCUGAUAGUAAGAGCAUCCAUUCCUUCAACAGUCCAGAAACAAUUGAUGCCACACAUCAUGUGCAAAUCCAACUGACAAGACACACCAUCUGCAGCGACCAUGAAAGGCCCGCUUGGAAGACCAAGCGCACCUGCCAUCAAAGCUCAAGGCAAGAAAAUAUGCCAAGAUGCACAGCUACAUUUUUAGUACAUACACUUUACUUAUUUUGCCAGUAGAGAAAACGGUCAAAGUGAGAGGACAUAAUGAAAGCCUAGUGCUCUGCUCAGAACAAAGGACGAGCAAUAAAGACUUCGAGUCUGAUUUUUGGAUCUGUGUGAUAUGGCUUAUGGUCUUAAUCAGCAGAAACUUAAGGAAUCUAAAACAGACUGUGGAUGAAUACACAUUCCUUUUAAAUAUUUCAGAAAGCUUUGUGGCUUUUGACAGUAUUCAUAAACUUAAGUAGGGAUAAAGAGACAGCUUUGUUGUCUGAGGAAGCAUGAAGAAGUAAGGUUGCCACUGAUCACUACAUUAUGCCAACAUAAUAAACUACUUUUUCAAAAGGGAGCAAAGUAAAAUAAAAUGAUUUUAUGAAGGAAGUGUAUUGUGCCAAAAGCACAAGAUGGUAUACUAAACACUAAACUGCACUCUGGAAGCAUCUGACAUACUACUAACCUGGCUUAUAAAACGUAUUUUCAGUGAUUAUUGUAACAAGAUUCUCAUUUUGUGAGCAAAUCUCCCGAGUCAACCUUUAUGUCCUUAGAUUUCAAAGCUACACUUUUUGGUUACGUAAUACAGAGCUUAUCCUGACGAUGCAACAAUAAAAGAAACAUAAGCUCCUUGGGUACUAGCAGGAACUUCUACCAGGCUACUGACAAUCAACUGAUAUUUUAUGUGCUUUCAGUUCUUGAUUUGUAAAUGAGGCUAAUGGUAUUUACUGCCUUACCUUUCCUCCUUUCUUCUGCCUUUAUUUCUCUGAGGCAUCACAAGAUCAAUGAAUAAAUCUUAUAAAAUACUAAGCCAAAAGUAAUAUUCAAGGAUUACAAUCAAUUUUUUAUUAAGGGGGUAUUGCUUCAAGCUAUUUUGCUAAUGUACGAGACACCAUAUAAAUGUGUUAAAAAGCACACUGGAACAGUUUAGAAAUGAUUUUAACCCAAUAGAUUAUAACUGCCUAGCACUUUAGUUUUAUGAAUGUUUUCCAUUUGUCUCUUUUAUUUAAAUUAAAAUACUAAAUGACAAUCAGUAAAACCAAUUAAAGAAUCAUUGUUUAAUUAUACUAUUACGCAUAGAUGAACAAAUGAAAGGCAUAUUCCAUUUGGAUUAGACAAAACAAUAUGUAGAGUACUUUAUAUUUCCCUUAUGUUUUAAGAGUAACUGACUAUCAAGAGGUUUAAAAUCAUUUCAAAUAAAUACUAUAUGAGUUAACUACUGCUCGGUAAAACAAAUGAUCCCCAAACCGAGUGGCUUAAGACCAAGAACACUUAUUAUUUUGUAGUUUCUGCGGGUCAUGACUUUGGGAGCAAGUCAUUUAGCUGGGGGGUUCCAGCUCAGCAUCUCUCAUGGUGCUGUGUCCAGAUGGUGGCCAGGGUCUGCAGCCAUCUGAAGACUUGACUGUGGCGGAGUGAUUCACUUCCUAGAUGGCUUCCUCACAUAGUCUACACUGUGUAAGUCCCUUCCCGAGUGUUCCUUUCCAUAAGGGCUGCUCCUGAGACAGCUGCAUCUUCAUGAAAUGGCAGUUUCCUGACCCAGGCUUGGCGUGGAUCUCCGUCUCUGUCUGACAGCUGCAUCCUCUUGGUCACACAGGUCAGCCCUACUCCAUGUGAGAUGGAACUGAAGGGCCUGACUACAAAGGGGCAGGGAUCACUGGGGAUCAUGUGGAAGUUGGCCACUACAAUCACUUAGAAGAUGGUCAAAACUUAAGAGCUGUCUUACCUACCCUAGAAAAUUCAAUAGUCAGCUGUCCAAAGAGCUUCCAGUAGGUGUGGAACUCACUGAGCAAACCUGUGAAAUGUGUCAAAGAUAAUGGUACAGAAGGUGUCCUCAAGAAGCUCCCAAGAAUGAGCAAGAUAAAUGAUUAUUCGGAAUCAUGUCAAUGUUCAAAUGGAUUCCAACACACUGCUACUGAAUUACAAAAAAAGUCAUUACACUAGCGAAGAGUUAAAAGAAUCAGGAAUUUAAGUCCAUUAGAACUAGCUUAGGACUAUAAAAUAUAAAAGAAAUAUAAGACGCUGAGCUGUUUUUCCCAUCAUCCUAACAUGACCGUUAAUAAGAGGUCUUUGAAAAGGAGGAGCACGACUGCACAGGGUGUGCCCUCAUACGACGGUGUCUGCACAGACGGCAGCCUCGAGGGCAGGAAGACCUGGCGUCCCUGUCCAGUUCUGAUACUUCCUGAGUCAACACAGACAAGUUG
rnacentral:lncRNA from 1 species